rnacentral:rRNA from 1 species
GACGAACGCUGGCGGCGUGCUUAACACAUGCAAGUCGAACGGAAAGGCCCUGCUUUUGUGGGGUUCUCGAGUGGCGAACGGGUGAGUAACACGUGAGUAACCUGCCCUUGUCUUUGGGAUAACUUCAGGAAACUGGGGCUAAUACCGGAUAGGAGCUCCUGCUGCACGGUGGGGGUUGGAAAGUUUCGGCGGUUGGGGCUGGACUCGCGGCUUAUCAGCUUGUUGGUGGGGUAGUGGCUUACCAAGGCUUUGACGGGUAGCCGGCCUGAGAGGGUGACCGGCCACAAUGGGACUGAGAGACGGCCCAGACUCCUACGGGAGGCAGCAGUGGGGAAUAUGGCACAAUGGGCGGAAGCCUGAUGCAGCAACGCCGCGUGCGGGAUGACGGCCUUCGGGUUGUAAACCGCUUUCGCCUGUGACGAAGCGUGAGUGACGGUAAUGGGUAAAGAAGCACCGGCUAACUACGUG